CAUGCAAGUCGAACGCGUUGGCCCAAUUGAUUGAUGGUGCUUGCACCUGAUUGAUUUUGGUCGCCAACGAGUGGCGGACGGGUGAGUAACACGUAGGUAACCUGCCCAGAAGCGGGGGACAACAUUUGGAAACAGAUGCUAAUACCGCAUAACAGCGUUGUUCGCAUGAACAACGCUUAAAAGAUGGCUUCUCGCUAUCACUUCUGGAUGGACCUGCGGUGCAUUAGCUUGUUGGUGGGGUAACGGCCUACCAAGGCGAUGAUGCAUAGCCGAGUUGAGAGACUGAUCGGCCACAAUGGGACUGAGACACGGCCCAUACUCCUACGGGAGGCAGCAGUAGGGAAUCUUCCACAAUGGGCGCAAGCCUGAUGGAGCAACACCGCGUGAGUGAAGAAGGGUUUCGGCUCGUAAAGCUCUGUUGUUAAAGAAGAACACGUAUGAGAGUAACUGUUCAUACGUUGACGGUAUUUAACCAGAAAGUCACGGCUAACUACGUGCCAGCAGCCGCGGUAAUACGUAGGUGGCAAGCGUUAUCCGGAUUUAUUGGGCGUAAAGAGAGUGCAGGCGGUUUUCUAAGUCUGAUGUGAAAGCCUUCGGCUUAACCGGAGAAGUGCAUCGGAAACUGGAUAACUUGAGUGCAGAAGAGGGUAGUGGAACUCCAUGUGUAGCGGUGGAAUGCGUAGAUAUAUGGAAGAACACCAGUGGCGAAGGCGGCUACCUGGUCUGCAACUGACGCUGAGACUCGAAAGCAUGGGUAGCGAACAGGAUUAGAUACCCUGGUAGUCCAUGCCGUAAACGAUGAGUGCUAGGUGUUGGAGGGUUUCCGCCCUUCAGUGCCGGAGCUAACGCAUUAAGCACUCCGCCUGGGGAGUACGACCGCAAGGUUGAAACUCAAAGGAAUUGACGGGGGCCCGCACAAGCGGUGGAGCAUGUGGUUUAAUUCGAAGCUACGCGAAGAACCUUACCAGGUCUUGACAUCUUGCGCCAACCCUAGAGAUAGGGCGUUUCCUUCGGGAACGCAAUGACAGGUGGUGCAUGGUCGUCGUCAGCUCGUGUCGUGAGAUGUUGGGUUAAGUCCCGCAACGAGCGCAACCCUUGUUACUAGUUGCCAGCAUUAAGUUGGGCACUCUAGUGAGACUGCCGGUGACAAACCGGAGGAAGGUGGGGACGACGUCAGAUCAUCAUGCCCCUUAUGACCUGGGCUACACACGUGCUACAAUGGACGGUACAACGAGUCGCGAACUCGCGAGGGCAAGCAAAUCUCUUAAAACCGUUCUCAGUUCGGACUGCAGGCUGCAACUCGCCUGCACGAAGUCGGAAUCGCUAGUAAUCGCGGAUCAGCAUGCCGCGGUGAAUACGUUCCCGGGCCUUGUACACACCGCCCGUCACACCAUGAGAGUUUGUAACACCCAAAGUCGGUGGGGUAACCUUUUAGGAGCCAGCCGCCU
rnacentral:rRNA from 1 species